GGGUUGCAAGCAAUGGCCAAUUAUGUGGGGGAACAUAUUAAAAAAGCGGAACAUGUAAAUUGCCACGACAGAAUAAAGAGACUGUUUUUCCGUGCACGAAUGUUCAUCAGAAUUCGAACUCUGAACAGACAGAUUUCUGAUAGUACACGCUCUCGAAAGCGGAAAUAUCGUAAAAUAAUAAAAUGAGCAACUCCAAAAAUCGUUAAAAAAUUGGCGAACCGCGGCUGAUAACCCACAAUAAUGACUAUGCAAUUCAAGCGUUGAUUGUGUAUUUUUAUGUUAUAGCGCCAACUCAGUACUGGACGAACUACUUCAACCAGCUAGAAUCAAGCAAUUUAUUCACUAAGCAAAAAUGAAAUGUAUCAAGUUCCACGGUGGUCCCUUUCGAGACUUUUGCUCCUCACACAACCGCGUGGACACCUCUGUUGUAAUGUUGAGGAGCGAUUAUUCCUGGAGCUAUAAAUUUUAUGCCGCAGAAUCAAGCGCACCACAUGCACAUGUCGGAGAUAUGAACUAACUAAACACAGUACAGAGAAAAAGUGCCAGCAAGUGGAACCAGGCAGGCGAGCGGGCUUUAUUGGAAAUAUGGGGUGAGAAGAUGAGCGAGUUGCGUGGCUGUAGAAAAAAUAGCCAUAUACUUCAGGAAAUGGCUGCGGUGCUCGAAAGCCAUGGAUUCCGUUACACGGUGGCGGAGGUCAAGACAAAAAUGCACAACUUGAGCGCCCGAUAUCGGUAAAUAUUUUUACUUGUUAUUAUGCUUAUGAAAAGUUAUUUGGUGGGCAUUAUACCCGCCGCGCAUGCUCUUUUCGCGCGAGUGUUCGUGCUAGUGGCCCCAGCUAGCUGAGAACCGUUUUUCUAAUGGCAGUGUCGCGAGUGUCCCUAAGCAUGAAGGAAGCGGUGCAUAAAUGAGAUCUUCCAGUAU
rnacentral:lncRNA from 1 species